rnacentral:rRNA from 1 species
UACGUAGGAUGCAAGCGUUGUCCGGAAUUACUGGGCGUAAAGGGCGAGCAGGUGGCAAGUCAAGUCUGAUGUAAAAUCCCUCAGCUCAACUGAGGACGUGCAUCCGAAACUGGCGAGCUUGAGUGCUGAAGAGGAUCGCGGAAUUCCCGGUGUAGAGGUGAAAUUCGUAGAUAUCGGGAGGAACACCAGUGGCGAAGGCGGCGAUCUGGGCAGACACUGACGCUGAGGUGCGAAAGCGUGGGGAGCAAACAGG